rnacentral:rRNA from 1 species
GACGAACGCUGGCGGCGUGCUUAACACAUGCAAGUCGAACGAUGAACCAGGGCUUGCCCUGGGGAUUAGUGGCGAACGGGUGAGUAACACGUGGGCAACCUGCCCCAGACACCGGGAUAACCUCUCGAAAGAGUGGCUAAUACCGGAUACGACCACUUUGGGCAUCCAACGGUGGUGGAAAGGAUUCUGGUCUGGGAUGGGCCCGCGGCCUAUCAGCUUGUUGGUGGGGUAAUGGCCUACCAAGGCGACGACGGGUAGCCGGCCUGAGAGGGCGACCGGCCGAACUGGGACUGAGACACGGCCCAGACUCCUACGGGAGGCAGCAGUGGGGAAUAUUGCGCAAGGGGCGAAAGCCGGACGCAGCGACGCCGCGUGAGGGACGAAGGUCUUCGGAUUGUAAACCUCUUUCAGCAGGGACGAAGCGAAAGUGACUGUACCUGCAGAAGAAGCACCGGCUAACUACGUGCCAGCAGCCGCCGUAAGAC